CUAGUUUGGAUACAUUGGUCACAGUCAUGUGGAGGAGACCUUCUUUAAGACUUGCGGUUAAUAUAGUGGGGUGGGGAGACCUCUCGACACUCGAGAGGAAUCAGAUUCAUGGAAGGAGUGCCAAAGUGGAAAGGGCGAUAUUUAGCGUAGAGAAAUCGGGAGAUGCUCGUCGCCAUGGCCACUCUUGGAUACAGAGGAGGUUUGGGAGCUUCACCGAAGACUUUUUGGCUAUCAACCAGAGGAAUGAUGGUAAUAUUAAGCAGUUGGUAAAAAGUAUGGAUGACCAUAAAGCGAUGAGGAUCAGAAUCUUGUCAUUGAAUUUGGAGAUGUAGCAAGCUCAGAACUCAUCUUUGCCUUCUUGGAUGGCUAGCAAUGUUGUUGCAAACUUCUGGAGACAUUGGCUACUGAUGAAAUGGAUGGAGCUUAAAUUCUUUUCACCAAUUGCUCGUUAGACAUUUUUCCAUAGAGAUAGUACCUCUAUCGAAAGACUCCAACAUGUUCCUCUUGUAUCAGUUGGAUAAAAGAAGAUUGGUUCUGAAGAUCCACUUAGUUGAA